CUUGAUGAAGUGCUCUCAGGGCCUAGGAUGUUAUGGAAAAGCUGCACAGAUCUUGCUCUCAAACAGCUUUGAAGAUAUCUUAGGAAAGUCUACACUUCACAUCGUCCUGGCAGCAGAAGAUGGACCGCGGCAUGGACGGAUAGGAAGGACAAAGUAAGAGGAGUGGUAGUACUUAAGGAUGACGGAGAUUGGAAUGAUUGACAGAGGAUGUCCAAAAGAAUUUCAGUAGGAGGAUUAAAUUGGAGAGACAGAUGAGACCUUGCUAAGUUCCAACUUAGGUAAAGAAAAAUAUGGUGAAUGUGAA
rnacentral:lncRNA from 1 species